rnacentral:rRNA from 1 species
AUUGAACGCUGGCGGCAGGCCUAACACAUGAAAGUCGAGCGAGCGGCGGACGGGUGAGUAAUGUCUGGGGACUGCCCGAUAGAGGGGGAUAACUCCUGGAAACGGUGGCUAAUACAGCAUACUGGCGGACCAACCACAUGGGAUUAGCUCGUAGGUAAGGAACUGGCUUACCUAGGCGACGAUCACUAGCUGGUAUGAGAGGAUGAUCAGCCACACUGGGCCGUAGACACGGCCCAGACUCCUACGGAGUCAUCAGUGGGGAAUAUUGCACAAUGGGCGCAAGCCUGAUGCAGCCAUGCCGCGUGUAUGAAGAAGGCCCUAGGGUUGUAAAGUACUUUCAGUCGGGAGGCGUUACCGACAGAAGAAGCACCGGCUAACUCCGUGCCAGCAGCCGCGGUAAUUC